CCAACCCCUGUGACAUACCUAUACGUUGCCUCGGCGGAUCAGCCCGCGCCCCGUAAAACGGGACGGCCCGCCGCAGGACCCAUAAACCCUGAAUUUUAUUGUAACUUCUGAGUUUAAAAAACAAAUAAAUCAAAACUUUCAACAACGGAUCUCUUGGUUCUGGCAUCGAUGAAGAACGCAGCAAAAUGCGAUAAGUAAUGUGAAUUGCAGAAUUCAGUGAAUCAUCGAAUCUUUGAACGCACAUUGCGCCCGCCAGUAUUCUGGCGGGCAUGCCUGUUCGAGCGUCAUUUCAACCCUCAAGCCCCCGGGUUUGGUGUUGGGGAUCGGGCUGCGGUUCUACCGCGUCCCGGCCCCGAAAUCUAGUGGCGGUCUCGCUGCAGCCUCCAUUGCGUAGKAGCUAACACCUCSCAACUGGAASGSGGCGCGGCCAASCCGUUAAACCCCCAACUUCUGAAUGUUGACCUCGGAUCAGGUAGGAA
rnacentral:rRNA from 1 species